GUGCUCACUUGGGCAGCACAGUUGGUAAAAUUGGAAUGAUACAGAGAAGAUUAGCCUAGUCCCUGCCGAAGGAUGACACAAAUUGGUGAAGUGUUCCAUUAAAAA
ensembl:snRNA U6 U6 spliceosomal RNA